AGUUGACUGGAGGGCAGAUGCUGCUUGGAGGUUGCUGAGUGUUAGCUGGAGGCGAGGAGCUGCCUGAAUAUGAAUUUGUUUUCACACUCGCUGGUGAGCAAGAAAGGUUCUCCCAUCACCUGGCAGAGGCAGCUGUGCUCUGCUCCUUCUCCUCAGCUGCAGCUCGCUGGCACGUUUUCCAGAUGCCUUCUUCAGUCAGUGACCACCAUUUUGUUUCUAAUGCCUCUGGUCAGCCUGAGCUCCUUGAAGCCAUCUUGCUGUAAGUGACUGUAGCAUUCUGCGAUGGGGCUGUGCAUGUCCUGGCUUGUUACCACAUGCAGCGAAGAGAAAGUGGCAAGUUUAUGCCUAUUGCCUCUUGACCUGUUACCAGGGAGCACUGAGCAGAGCCUGGCUCCGUCCUCUCUGCACUCUCCCUUCAGUGUCAUUGCAUGGUAGCAGAGCUCCUACCCCUCUGGAAUUGCCACUGUGUUGCUGCUUCAGGCAUAUCAUGGUUCCAGAAAGUAAAAUCCAUGCUAGUUUCCCUCUAGCCCUGCUGUCGUUUCCUGGGAAACAGUUACCCCAUAUGUAUCUGCCUACUAUGUCAGGCACAAGUAGAAACUUAAAACAUUCCAGUCGUCGUUCCCUUGUGUAUCUGGGGCAAAAAUACACUCAAUUAACUUUAAUGCUGUAAUUCUCAAGAAAACACUCCAUGUUAGGUCAUGAACGUGAUCUCAAUGAACACCAAUUAGUUGCUUUGUGGCAGUAAAUCUGGAUGACAAAUCAUUGCACGGAGGAAGUGUCUACAAAGCUUAAAUCUGGAAACUUGGAAAGGCCGUAUUUGAAAGUCAUCCUGUUACUCAUAUUUCAAGGAAGUCUGUGUAAUCUGGCUUUUCCUAAUGGUAGUACUCUGGAAUAACUUCCUGAGGCAAGCUGUUUGUAGCAGACUCCCAGCAGUUCUAUGACUGUGGAACUGUGAACAAUGCCAGGAGAGAAAGUUGGUUAAUAAGUUACAGUGCCCUCGGCUUAGGUUAUUGUGAGUGACCUGGAUCAUGGUGUGUGCUGUACAAUGUAGUAGUUCGUAGUGUCUUGUUCUGAGUGCCUACUUUGAAGUACACUGGAUAUAUGCAGUCAGAAGCCAAUGGGAAACCAGCAGCUCUUGUAUAUUACUGCAGAAAAGUAAAUAGCAAACUUUCAGAGUUCACAGGCUGUUUUAUUGCUUGUUUUUUCUCCAGGGUUUUGGAAUUUGAUCAGUACAAUUGGCUGACAGAGGAGCUAAUUAGAGGUCACAGAGGGCAUGAGACUGGCAACUGUCAUCCUAUUAAGGGAACAAACUUGUGUCUGUAUUCUUUUGUCUUGCACGAGAGUACAGGGAGCAAAUGAUGAUGAAGGCAGGCUGAUAUUGCUACUUGCAGAUUUCCUGCCCUUUUCCCCCUUUCCUUGGUCAGUGAAUUCCUACCAGAGAAAGGUCAAUUUCCUGUGCAGUGUCUCUAUUUUUUCAGCCCCACCCUAAGUAGGCAGUGAAUUUUGACAGGAUACUGCUGCUUAAUAUUUAUGCAAAUAGUUUUAUCUUUGGAACAAUGUGUAAAGGCUCUCUGCUUACUUACACU
ensembl:lncRNA